rnacentral:rRNA from 1 species
UGGGGCCGGGAGUUCUAUCUCACACAGGAGAGUUUGAUCAUGGCUCAGGACGAACGCCUGAGCGGCGUGCCUAAUACAUGCCAGUGGAGCGGACAGAUGGGAGCUUGCUCCCUGAUGUUAGCGGCGGACGGGUGAGUAACACGUGGGUAACCUGCCUGUAAGACUGGGAUAACUCCGGGAAACCGGGGCUAAUACCGGAUGGUUGUUUGAACCGCAUGGUUCAGACAUAAAAGGUGGCUUCGGCUACCACUUACAGAUGGACCCGCGGCGCAUUAGCUAGUUGGUGAGGUAACGGCUCACCAAGGCGACGAUGCGUAGCCGACCUGAGAGGGUGAUCGGCCACACUGGGACUGAGACACGGCCCAGACUCCUACGGGAGGCAGCAGUAGGGAAUCUUCCGCAAUGGACGAAAGUCUGACGGAGCAACGCCGCGUGAGUGAUGAAGGUUUUCGGAUCGUAAAGCUCUGUUGUUAGGGAAGAACAAGUGCCGUUCAAAUAGGGCGGCACGUUAGACGUGUAACUAACCAGAAAGCCACGGCUAACUACGUGCCAGCCGCCGCGGUAAUU